GAAAGUUUUGGCGGCUCAUGGUGCUACUAAGGUCAGUGCGUAUGUUACCCAUGGUGUGUUCCCUAAGCGCUCAUGGGAGCGGUUUCUUGCUGCAAUGGAAAGGAGGGGUCACAACGAGCAUUCUCUUACUUUUGGAUCACGGAUUCCUGCUCACAUACAGUGAAAGCUAUAGGGGACAAAGCUCCUUUUGAGGUUCUGAGUCUGGCUGGAUCUAUUGCCGAUGCCCUUCAGAUCUAAUGACAAAAGCAUCUGAACUUAGAGUAUCCAUAUUGGUGUGGAGCAGGGUCCUAUGGCUGAGUUUAUAAAAGAGGUUAACGCCGAGAUCUCUGAUGGCUUUCUUUGUCUUGUGUAGUACUAAAGCGGCUCUUUGAAGUUAAAUUUUCUGUGUAGAACUGAUGGCUUCAUCAAAUAGUACUUGAAUAAUUUACACCAUGAAAAAAAACACUACUGUUUUCUC